CCUGUCACCCUGGAGAGCUUAGGUCUUCCUCAGCUCCCUGCCCAGGAGAACACCAAAACCCCUUUCCAGAAUGAGGACAUGGCAUUAUCCGUCCCACCUCAGUUGGAAAACGGCACCUUGUUGCUUCUCUAGGAGCUGCCUGAUAUGUCCUUGCCAAAUGAACCAAUAGGUUUAGACUGAUAACCAUGGAUAUAUCAAAUCAAGGUGGAAAAAGAACUCUGCAUAGUCUAAUGUCUGAUAUGAAAUUCUAAUGAUUACACCCACUUCUGAAGGCCUCUGACACUGGCGGCGUACCUGUUCUUUUGUAACCUAACGGAACUCUUCAUGAAACAGCAGAUCUCUGGCUUCCAAGACACCAUCAAUGCUGGACCCUCAUCAGGACUCCUCAUGGUUACCCUGUUAUUGCCCUGUGUCAUGGAGAUCUGCAGCUUUGGAACAGCGGGACUGGAAGCCCUUUCAUGUGUCCCAACUGUUCACAGAUGAUGGAGA